CCUACGGGUGGCAGCAGUGAGGAAUAUUGGUCAAUGGACGGAAGUCUGAACCAGCCAUGCCGCGUGCAGGAAGACGGCUCUCUGAGUUGUAAACUGCUUUUGUACAAGGGUAAACCUGAAUACGUGUAUUCAGCUGAAAGUACUGUACGAAUAAGGAUCGGCUAACUCCGUGCCAGCAGCCGCGGUAAUACGGAGGGGCCAAGCGUUAUCCGGAUUUAUUGGGUUUAAAGGGUGCGUAGGCGGAUUGUUAAGUUAGAGGUGAAAUGUCCGGGCUUAACCCGGGAACUGCCUAUAAUACUGGUGAUCUAGAGAGUAGGUGAGGUAGGCGGAAUGUAUGGUGUAGCGGUGAAAUGCUUAGAGAUCACGCAGAACCCCGAUGGCGAAGGCAGCAUGCCGGCUUCCGACUGACGCUGAAGCACGAAAGCGUGGGGAUCGAACAGGAUUAGAUACCCCUGUAGUC
rnacentral:rRNA from 1 species